rnacentral:tRNA from 1 species
GCCUCGGUGGCGGAAUUGGUAGACGCAGCAGAUUCAAAAUCUGCCGCCUUCGGGUGUGCCGGUUCGAGUCCGGCCCGAGGUA